CCCGUCUCCGCGGUCCCUGUCACUUCCAUAUAAACAGCCCCUUAUUGACUAGCAGAUAAUAACAGGAAUUGCACCCAGUGAACAUGCUCUAAUUAGGCUAAGGCCCGUUUCAUACGCCGUAUUUCACAUGUGCCGAAUACAUUAAAAACAAUAGGUAAUGAGGCAUUUCAGCUCAUUAUUUAUUGCCUUUAAUGCAUUCGGCACAUGUGAAGUACGGCGUAUGAAACGGGCCUAAGUAUAAUUUUAGUAAUGUGGUUUUCAAUAAAUAUAGAUUGCUUGAUAUUUUGUCUAUAUCCGCC